UGAGAAAAGGGUCCAGGCCCUACGGGGCGCAGCAGGCGCGAAAACUUUGCAAUGUGCGAAAGCACGACAAGGUUAAUCCGAGUGCAACAUGCUGAAUGUAGCUUUUGGUAAAUGUAAAUAGUUUAUUGAAUAAGGGGAGGGAAAGUCUGGUGUCAGCCGCCGCGGUAAUACCAGCUCCCCGAGUGGUCGGGACGAUUAUUGGGCCUAAAGCAUCCGUAGCCUGUUCUGUAGGUCUUAUGUUAAAACCAAUUGCUUAACAAUUGGACUGCAUGAGAUACCACAAAACUAGGAGGCGGGAGAGGUGGACGGUACUCCACGGGUAGGGGUAAAAUCCUCUGAACCGUGGAAGACCACCAGUGGCGAAGGCGGUCCACCAGAACGCGCUCGACGGUGAGGGAUGAAAGCUGGGGUAGCGAACCGGAUUAGAUACCCGGGUAGUCCCAGCUGUAAACGAUGCAAGCUAGGUGAUGCAUUAGCCACGUGUUAAUGCAGUGCCGCAGGGAAGCCGUUAAGCUUGCCGCCUGGGGAGUACGGUCGCAAGGCUGAAACUUAAAGGAAUUGGCGGGGGAGCACCACAAGGGGUGAAGCCUGCGGUUCAAUUGGAGUCAACGCCGGGAACCUUACCAGGAGAGACAGCAGAGUGAAGGUCAAGCUGAAGACUUUACCAGACAAGCUGAGAGGAGGCGCAUGGCCGUCGACAGCUCGUGCCGUGAGGCGUCCUGUUAAGUCAGGCAACGAGCGAGACCCUUGCCAUUAAUUGCUUCCAUUGAUCGAAAGGUUGGCGGAGCUAGUUAAUGGGACUGCCGUUGAUAAAACGGAGGAAGGAAGGGGCCACGGCAGGUCAGUAUGCCCCGAAACUCUUGGGCCACACGCGGGCUGCAAUGGUAGGCACAAUAGGUACCGAAUUCGAGAGAAUGAGGCAAUCCCAAAAUCCUACCCCAGUUGUGAUUGAGGGCUGCAACUCGCCCUCAUGAAUCUGGAAUCCCUAGUAACCGCGUGUCAACAUCGCGCGGUGAAUACGUCCCUGCUCCUUGCACACACCGCCCGUCGCUUCACCCGAGUUGGGUUUGGGGGAGAUAGUGUCUCUUUGACAUUAUCGAACCUAGGUUCGACAAGGGGGGAGAAGUCGUAACAAGGUGGCCGUAGGGGAACCUGUGGCCG
rnacentral:rRNA from 1 species